rnacentral:rRNA from 1 species
UACGGAGGGAGCUAGCGUUGUCCGGAAUUAUUGGGCGUAAAGAGCUCGUAGGCGGUCUGUCGCGUCGAAAUGUGAAAACCCGGGGCUCAACUCCGGGCUUCAUUCGAUACGGGCAGGCUAGAGUUCGGUAGGGGAGUCUGGGAAUUCCUGGUGUAGCGGGUGAAAUACGGCAGAUAUCAGGAGGAACACCGGUGGCGAAGGCGGGACUCUGGGCCGAUACUGACGUGAGGAGCGAAAGCGUGGGGGAGCGAAACAGG